ensembl:lncRNA
UCUGACCCUCUGCUCACCUGUGAAAUGGGGACCACAGGAGGGAGCCAGCUGCUGUAGAAUCGAAGCCCUCUCCCAAAGCAGCUGGCCUAGAGAUUGGGAGCACUGGUGGGUUUGAACCCCUGCUCCAUCCCUUACUGCUGUGCAGCCCAGGCCAAGGGGCCGACCUCUGUGUUCCUGUCUGUAAACUGAGGAGCCUGACAGCACUCACCUCAUAGAUUUGCCACGAGGAUCAAAUGUCAUACUGGGACCCAAGCGAGCAGUCAUAACUACCGCCAGGCCCAGUGUAGCAUCUACACUGGCCAAUCAGGCAAGGGGUGUUAGGUUUCUCAUCAGCUUCCCCCAGGCUGGUGUUGGCUGAAGUUGGCGGCUGGAGCUGGAGCUGGUGCCAGCCUGGGCUGGCCUGGUUGCGGCUCAGUUUUUAUCACCAUGGGGACUGAGGCGCAUCACUUGAUCACGAUCCUCUCUCAAGCCUCAGUUUGCUCAUCUGUAAAGUGGAUGAGCGACUCUUUCCUGCAAAACCAACUGUCCCUGAAUGCAAAUGAGUUCCCAGUCAAGUAACGUCAGUAACGUCUGCACCAGGGACGCCGUAAGUGCAAGGGGUUGUUAAGCCAGUGCAGGAGCCCGUGGGUGGUGGGUGGGCCCAUGGGCACCUUGGAAGAGAUCACAGGAAGUGCGGGGGCUGGUGCUGGGGACCCUGGCCCAGGGGGCCCGGGCUGGCACUGCUCUUUGAAUCUCCUAUUCUCUCUGCUCUUUGCAUACUCAGCCCUGGCUCUGGAAGCAGGGCCUCCCCACCGUGGGACCCCCCCAAGGAUGUGAGGGCCAUCCCAGGCAGUGCUCACCCCGUGCCAGCCCCUGGGCUGCUAGCCAGGAUGGCCAGACAUGUCCCUGCCCUCCUGAGCCUCGGGUCUGCAGGAACAGGAGAAACUGCACAGAUUCAAGGAUGACAGUGAAUUUAACAUGGUCUAUGAAAAUCUCUAGGAUGAGCUCCCCCCACCCACAGGUCUUGCCCAGGAUCAGAGGCCCCGGGGCAGCCCCUCCCUCCAGAGGACCUGCUCUGUACCAGGAGUGAGGCCCCCGGGGCGCCCCAUCACCUCACCCCUACAGUCAAGGCCCUUCCUGCCUUGGCUUGCCUCCACCUCUUACUCUGUGCCCCAGCCAUACCCACUGAGUGUUCCACAUCUCCAGGCCUUUGCCCAAGCUCUUCCCUCUACCAGGCGGGCCCUUCCUCAGUCUUCAGGGGUUCUCUUGGACACCACCCACUCCCCAAGGCCUCCUCACCCUCUCGAGACCCAAGGGCUCUCUUGGCGCCAGCCUGCACCACAGCUGCAAGGCUGACUGUGGGUUCCUCCAGAGGGACCUGGCAAGGGACCCUUGUCAGAGCUGUGUGCAGAGCAUGGCGGAGCGGAUGAAUAAAGGAGUAACCUUGCAGACGCCCCCACCUCCCUACCUGCUGCCCAGUUAGGCCAAAGGCACAAGGCGGCCACAUCAGCAGGGAGCAGGGUGCUGGCGUAGGAAGUAUGAGGUGUGGGUAAGAUUGAACCACAGAGGCUGGGCUGGCCUCAGGGACAGAGCGGCAGGCUGAGGGGGCGGCUGAGUGCUGGUCAGGCUGGGGCCUGGAGUAGGCGGGGGCAUGUUUUGAGCUGGGAGGGGAGGUGCUGGCUAACUAGGAGGUGAACAGCCUGGAGCUCUCUGCCCCCAACAAGGACCCCAAGGUUGUGUCCCACUGGCCUGGCCUUCCACACUCACUAAGGCAGCUGCUUCAUCCCUCUGCUCCUCACACCUCCUCCGUCCUCAGGGCCUCAGCUGCUCCUCCUUCCACCCCAAGACCCAGACUCCCAAAGGCCCCUGCAUCUGGCACAUCCUGACCCCACCCUCCUCCUUGGUCUUUAUCUGCCUUGUGCCCCAGCCCGCUAGACCAGCCCCCCCCUCCUGGCCCAGGGCCAGGCCCCGCUGCCUCGAGGCCACCUCUCUCCAUCGUGGUCUAGCUGUGGCUUGGUCCCCGGGGCCUCCCCCGCAUGGGCAGAGGGGUCCUUUCGUUUUGCAGAUGCUCAGGCCCUGCGUGGACAGUGGUCCCUCAAGGCCCGGCCCUGAGCCAUUCUUGCUCCUCUGUGCGCUCACAUUACCCGUCAUGUCACCCUUGCAGCAGCACACACUGAAAAGGGAACCCAUUUCACAGGCAGACGGGGCUGAGGUCCGGAUGCCCCAGGAUGUCGCUCUCCCCUAUCCCUCCCUCAGCUUUCCACUGUUUCCUCGUUCAUAAAACGGGCAGGCCAAUCCUCCCUCCCCACGCCCUGGGCUGCCCCAGAGGUCCCAGAGGUACCCUCUCACACAAACCCCAAAUGUGUUCAGGUAGGGUGGGGUGGCCUGCCACUGGCCCCUAAGCAGCACUGGACCACGAGGUCUGGGCAGCACCUUCUGCACUGCAGGUCAGGCCGCUCCCAUGGGGAGAGGAAGGCUGGGGGUGGGGGUGAACAUUGACUGACAUCUCGAAGAAGUCCCGGGCCCUCUGCUGGGAUGGCAUUGAGCCUCCUUGAACCCCCAGGACAGUCCACAGCCUCCCAGCUCCGUUCUGGGCCCACCCUGUGAGCACACAGCAAGGAAGGCUCUCAGCUGGCUUAUAAGGCUGAAUAGAGAGGCCUCUGCUCCCCGGGAGGCUGGAGUUUAAUGAACUCGCUGCCUGUUUAGGGAGGCGAAGCUGCCUCCAGCAGAGCUGCCCUCCAGGCUCCUGACUCCAACAGCCUGAGGCAGAGGCGGGGGUGGUGAGUGGGGUGGGGUGGAGAAGGGGGCACAGUGCCGCUCAGGGUGCUGGGCGCCUCCCCAGGAAAACCAAAGGCAGCAAGGUCAGCAGGAGGCCGCCUUGCCGGGCCUGGACCUCUCUGUCCUGAGUCCCUGGACCCCAGGCCCUCUGGCUGGGAGUCAGCCUUUUCUAGUUGCCCAGUGGCAGAGAGGGGAGUCUGGCAGGAUUACCCCACCCCUGGUCCAGGCCCCAGCAUGGCUGCCGUGCCCAGACAGUCUACUUCACGUCAGUCAUGUCCCUCCCUAUGCUCAAACCCUUUUACAGUUCCCACCUCACCUAGAACAAAGUCCCAACUCUUCCUUGUGGCCUAUGAGGCCCUCGGGGACCCACCUGUCACCCCUCAGUGGACACAGACAUUGCCAGUGUGGCGGCCGAGCCUGGUUCAGGGCAAGGCUGUGAAGCAGCAGGUUCUGAGGUCUUCGGGAAGCAAAGAGGAGGAGGAGGAAAGUCGAGGUAGAAGGGCGAAGGGCAGGACGCUUGGAGGGUGUUUGACACAAGGGAGGUGGAGGAAGAAUGUUCUGGGUCUGCUAGUAUGGAGCAAGGAAGACUCAGCACCCAUUCCCCAGCCCCCAGGACCGAGAGCCCAAGGAGAUGGGCGGCACAGGGGUGAGGGGUGGCAGAUUACCGCCGGGGGUUGCAGGUGGCAGUGAUGGAGGAGUGGGGGACAGAGAGGGCCUCGAACUGAGCUCCUUAAAGGCAGGCUUGUGUGCAGCUCUGAGUGGGUGGAGGAGAGGAGAGAGAGGAACCGCCCUUGGGGGUCGUUUGGGGCUGAGUGGCCACUGGUCUGUCUCAAAUCCCACCUCCCAGCAGCGUGUCCACCUGAGCCUCGGUUUCAGUGACAAUCAAGACAGCUCAGUGAGGACAGAAGGGGACUCCCCGCUCAUCCAGGCUCAGCAGGCGUGCGUUUCCUUCUUCACUCCUCCUCCAGGAAAAUCAGGCUGCCACAGGGCGGUGCCGAGGGGGUCAGCUAAAUGAGGGGCAGGCCUCCCGGGGGUUGGGACCCAGGUUUUGUGGCUGCCCCCGAAGGGAGCUCCUGCGCUGGGGGCAAGGCAAGCUGAGAGGUGUGUGUGAGGAGAGCCCUCAGGAGGGGCCGGAGAGGGGGUGAGUUUAGCCCCCUGGAAGAGUGCCGGAGGGCAGGGUGCCUGAGCGGGAACAGGUGAGACCCAGGUGAGGGGAAGCCUUAGAACUGAAAGGUGGUGGCAGCCAUUCUGAGGCGGAUCCCAGGCCUCAGGGGACACUGCUUCCUCCUGUGUGCUCCCCACCACAAGGACCCACCACAGCGGGGAGAGGGCAUGUCCAGGCCUCAGCAGAUGCUUCUUUGCCUGGCCUGCCUUUGCUCUGCCCAAGGAUUUCCCACCAUCUCUCCUGGCAUAGCCGGCCCUGCUCUCCUGGGUCGUGCCCGGCCGCUGUCUUCAGAACCUUGGGGCAUCUGAAACAUUUCAACUACUUCUGACUCCCUCAGCCUCCACCAGCCUCUCCAGGGCCGUAGCUCGGUGCAGGAUGGCCAUCCUGCCCCAUCCUGCCCCAUCCUGCCCCAUCCUGCCCCAUCCAGUGGUUCAGCCUCCAACCCUCUCUUCUGCUCCGGCUCCUCUCAGCACUUGCUCUAGAAAAUCAUCCCUGAAAACAAACCCAGGAACGCAAAGUGGGUGUGGGAAGCAGUGGCCCCUCCUUGGCAACAAUUUCCAGAGGAUUCUGCGAAGCCGAGUUUCCAUGGGAACACGUGCUGGUUACACACAGAAACCCAGUGGGGCUGGGGUUCCCUUCACAGCCAAUAUCUCAGGAUCCCGCAGGCACUGGGGGUGGAGGCGCCUCAGGCAAGCACAGCCGUUUGCAUUUUGGCCACCAGCCCUCACUAACCUGAAAGCAAGUUACAGGCAAAUCUGCCAUUUUUUUUUUUUUUUUUUUACAUUCUAAUUUAAAGGCCUUGCUCCAUUCUAAGGAUGCCUCUGGGAUUUCCAGGAUGGAUUUUUAUGUAGUUCAAUAGUUUUCUUGGCAGAUUGCUCAGCCACGAGAGGUGGGCCAUGGCCUUGGCCCAGCCAGGCUGACAGAGCGGCGUCUCUCUGUCCCUCUUAAAUACCAGGGGAUGUCCCUUGUCUACCUGAGGGACUUCCUCAUCCCUGAAUCCAGACUCCUAGAGUUGGGGACAUUGGCAUGAGGCACUGAGGCACCCUCCUUCCCGGGCUCCUUCUGGCCUGCAGUCAUAAUUAUGGCCUCCGGCCCUUGACAGAGCAUGGGUCAGGCCUGCUGUCUGCACUUGGUGCUGGACUGGGAUUUUGUGUGUGUGUCUAUGCAGGUGAUGUGGGCAUAUAUUGCUGUGAAACACUUCAACUUCAGCAAAGUGAAAUUCUCUUUGAUGCUCCUGCCACCUCACAGCCUCCAGCUCGGUCCCCUCCCCAGAGGCGACCACUGGGUCAUAUGAGCAUGUUUUCUUCUGGGCUAUUCUUAUUGCAUCUACGUGCAUAUUUGCAUAGACAUGAACACAUAAGACAUUGGGUGCUUGUGGGGGGUUCUGAAGGCUUCCGUGGAAUCAUUCUGCAGGUGCUGUUUGCAAUUGCUUUGUUCAGCCCCACGUGGUGGGAUCUGCCCAUGACAGCACAUGGGAGCUGCCAGACUCCUUAAUUACAGCAAAGGAUUCCACAGGACCAACAGAUCCUAAUUGAAUCAGGCCCGUAGUAAUGGCCUUUUCAGUUGUUUACAAUCCACCCUCACAGAAGGUGCUGCAGAAACAUCCUUGCACAGAUCUGCGCAACUUCCAGGGAGUGGACGUUUACCACCUGAGCAGACACUGCCGAAGCAUCUUGCAUGGCGGCUGGACUGGUUUCUAUUCCUCGGGCUCUUUACAACAUCUCAUUUAAUCCCAAAAACACUCCGCGAAGUGGGGGACCAAAGCAGAAACUGUGAUUCAGAGAAGCAGACUGGCUAAAGGCCAUACAGCCCAGAAGGGGCAGCCAGGGCUGGCUCCAGCUGUGUGCAGUCCCACUGCCUCCGUAGGUCAGGGGAGGAGGGUACGGGGGGUGGCCAGGAAGAGCCUCAGAGGGGCUCGGUGCCCCCAGGGCUGGGGAAGCCCGUGAAAGGACAAAUUUCCUUCAGAGAUGGCCUGUCAGCCUUACGUUGCUCACACCGGGUAUCUCAGAAUCGUAGGGGUAGGGAGUGUCCUCCUGCCGCAGGGGUCUAUCUCCUUGGGGAAAUGGAGGCAGGUCAGUAGAGGUAGUGGGGCUGGACCCACCCAGCAGCCCGCACCACCUGUGGGGCCUGGCUUCAGGCAGCCUGGACGUGGAUUCCAAGGCUCCCCUGGAAAUUUCUGGGCACAGCACGCCUGGAGGCACGAGCCGCCUCUUGGAAGCUUUAUAAUCCAGGAUAAUGCUGCUGUAAUUGGCAUCGUUUCACGUUUACAAUCCUCUCGUUACCUGAAAACCUACUUGCAGUGGCUAUAUCUGGAGAGGGUUUAAUUUUACCGGUGUGUGGACCUUGAGGGGCCGAGGAGCACCGGCUUUUUCUCUGUCGCCCCCAUCCUGACUCCCCCGUGAGUGCCACUGGCCUGGGGACCACAUUCUGGCUGACCUCAUGGCCUUGACUCAGGGCGCAGCCCUGUACCUGGCUCCCCUCCGUGGGCCCGGGGCUGAUCUGGGGGCUGCUUUUCUCCUCCAUGGAGCCCACCUAUCUAAGCCUCCCUCUAACCUCUCCCGCCUUGAGCUUCUGCCACCAAACUGGGCUUUCGAGAGCACAGACCUCACCAUCGCUCCUCCCUCUCAAAGCCCUGUAGUACCUUACAUUUACGGUCAAUUCAUUUCCACAAAGGGGCCAAGAUAAUUCAACAGGAAAAAACAAUCUUUUCAACCAAUAGUGCUGGGAGAAAUGGACAUCUGCAUGCAGAAGGAUGAAGUUGGAGCCCCCCUCACACCCUAUACAAACCUCACAGUGGCUCCCACUGUCCCCAGGGUGGCGGACUGGCCCCCAGCCCUGCACUCAGGGCUCUCACAAACCCUUCAUUCUUUCAACAACAUUUGUCCAGCUCCAACUAGAUGCCAGGCCCUGUGCUGGGGCUGUGUCCUCAUGCAGUCCAUCAGCCUCAUUUCUGACCAGCUCCCACUGGCCCAAAGUCACCCCAAGGGCCAUCCAUGUUCCCAUCCAUGGCUGCUAUUCCCUAAGGUGCCAAACUUCCCCACUCUGAACCUGAGCAGGAAUUCCUGCUCAAGUGCCACCUCCUCCAUGAAGCCCUCCCUAACACUCCCUACCCUACCAAGCAGUUUAUUCACUUCUCUCAUUGCUCCGACCUCCUCGCAUGAAUCAGUUCACACACACCCAUCUCCCCCAGGAGGCUCUGGGCCUCCUGAGCAUGGCGAACAUCCUACUGGUCUCUUUUUGUGUCUGACUCAUAGUGGGGGCUCCACAGCCACUUGUUUAAGAAAUAAAUGAAACUUUCCUUUUGCUGGCGAA